AUUUGUAAUCAAUCAACUCCUGUAAACCAAAGGGGGAUAAUUCCAAUUCCAAACACCCACACAAACAGGAACACAAGUCGGCGUUAUCAUCACAUCAGGUUUUUGUGGUGAAAUUACUAUGGAGAUGCAGAUGCAAGACGAAUCAUUUCUGAAUCCAUCGGUUAAAGCAACACUUUGUCUUGGAUCAGAAACGCAUACGAUUGAAGCUUGCAAGGGUAUUCUUUCAGACCAGUUGGUUUAUAUAAAAGGAGAAAGUAUGAGCGUAUUGAAAGAAUUCAUCACCAAGCAUAACGUUCCAAAUGAUGUACCAGAUGAAAUAGUGUCCGAAGGCGACGCCGAUGAUGACGACGAGGCGCCCGUUGUCAAGUCAAAGAAGAUUAGAACAGAGAAAUAGUUGAUUAUGUUGACUUAUGUUAUUUGGUCUGAUGAGGUAUGUUGACUUUUAUGGUUGGUUAUAUAUACAGUUGCAAAUUUUGAACUAACAUGAAACAACCAUUGCGAAAGUUUUAUUUUAUAUAAGUUUUACUGUA